GAUGAACGCUGGCGGCGUGCUUAACACAUGCAAGUCGAACGGAAAGGCCCAAGCUUGCUUGGGUACUCGAGUGGCGAACGGGUGAGUAACACGUGGGUGAUCUGCCCUGCACUUCGGGAUAAGCCUGGGAAACUGGGUCUAAUACCGGAUAGGACCACAUUUUGGAUGGUGUGGUGGAAAGUUUUUCGGUGUGGGAUGAGCUCGCGGCCUAUCAGCUUGUUGGUGGGGUAAUGCCCUACCAAGGCGUCGACGGGUAGCCGGCCUGAGAGGGUGUACGGCCACAUUGGGACUGAGAUACGGCCCAGACUCCUACGGGAGGCAGCAGUGGGGAAUAUUGCACAAUGGGCGCAAGCCUGAUGCAGCGACGCCGCGUGGGGGAUGACGGCCUUCGGGUUGUAAACUCCUUUCGCUAGGGACGAAGCGUUUUUGUGACGGUACCUGGAGAAGAAGCACCGGCUAACUACGUG
rnacentral:rRNA from 1 species